rnacentral:rRNA from 1 species
CCUACGGGUGGCAGCAGUGGGGAAUAUUGCACAAUGGGGGAAACCCUGAUGCAGCGACGCCGCGUGAGGGAAGAAGUCAUUCGUUACGUAAAGCUCUAUCAGCAGGGAAGAAAAUGACGGUACCUGAGUAAGACUCCCCGGCUAACUACGAGCCAGCCGCCGCGGUCAUACGGAGGGGGCAAGCGUUAUCCGGAUUGACUGGGUGUAACGUGAGCAUAGACGGUGUGUCAAGUCAGGAGUGAAAUGCCGCAGCUUAACUGUGGAACUGCUUUGGAAACUGGCGAACUAGAGUGCGGGAGGGGUAAGCGGAAUUCCUAGUGUAGCGGUGGAAUGCGUAGAUAUUAGGAGGAACACCGGUGGCGAAGGCGGCUUACUGGACUGUAACUGACGUUGAGGCUCGAAAGCGUGGGGAGCAAACAGGAUUAGAUACCCGGGUAGUC